UUAAAUUGAAGAGUUUGAUCAUGGCUCAGAUUGAACGCUGGCGGCAGGCCUAACACAUGCAAGUCGAGCGGAAACGAGUUAUCUGAACCUUCGGGGRACGAUAACGGCGUCGAGCGGCGGACGGGUGAGUAAUGCCUAGGAAAUUGCCCUGAUGUGGGGGAUAACCAU
rnacentral:rRNA from 1 species